rnacentral:rRNA from 1 species
AUUGAACGCUGGCGGCAGGCCUAACACAUGCAAGUCGAACGAGUGGCGGACGGGUGAGUAAUGUCUGGGAAACUGCCUGAUGGAGGGGGAUAACUACUGGAAACGGUAGCUAAUACCGCAUACCAUCGGAUGUGCCCAGAUGGGAUUAGCUAGUAGGUGGGGUAAAGGCUCACCUAGGCGACGAUCCCUAGCUGGUCUGAGAGGAUGACCAGGCACAAUGGAAACGAGGCACGGGCCAGCCUCCUAAGGGAGGCAGGAGGUGGGAAUAUUGCAACAUGGGCGCAAGGCCGAAGCCGGCAUGGCGCGUGUAAGAAGAAGGGCCUCGGGUUGGAAAGUACUUUCAGGCGGGAGGCGUUACCCGCAGAAGAAGCACCGGCUAACUCCGUGCCAGCAGCCGCGGUAAUUC